rnacentral:rRNA from 1 species
AUGGCUCACUGUUCGUACUGUCCGAAUGCAGCGGCUUCAGCUUCGCCUGCUGGUCGUCUGCACCGGAUGCCGCGCCCGGGGCUGCCGGUGGCCUCGAGGACGACGCCUAGGCUCAAGGCGUACAAGGGCGUGCCGCCGCCGUACGACAGGACCAAGCGCAUGGUCAUCCCUGACGCGCUCAAUGUUCUGAGGCUGCAGCCUGGCACAGGUACUGCCUCCUCAGCCAGCUCUCCAAGGAGGUCGGAUGGAACUACGCUCACACCAUCAGGAUAUGCGUUCAGCUUUUGUCAUAUAAACUCUCUUGUGGUGAUAAACGAUUUGUUCUUCGUUUUUUUGGCCUCUCCUGGCCCGGCAGCCUUGUCCUAG